UAUAUUAUGGUGGGCGUCUAUGGGUCCCCUAUAUUAGGUAUGGGUGGCUAUGGUCCCUAUAUAUGACGGUGCGUCUAUGGGGUCCCUAUAUUAUGGGUGGGGGUCUAUGGGGGUCCCUAUAUUAUGGGGGGGGGUCUAUGGGGGUCCCCAUGUUAUGGGUGGGGGUCUAUGGGGUCCCUAUAUUAUGGGUGGGGGUCUAUGGGGUCCCUAUAUUAUGGGUGGGGUCAUGCUCCCUAUAUUAUGUAUGAGUGGGUCUAUGGGGCCUAUAUUAUGUGGGCCUAUGGGUCCCUAUAUUAUGGUAAGGUGGGUCUAUGGGGUCCCUAUAUUAUGGUUGGGGCUAGUCCCUAAUUAUGUGGGGUCUAUGUGGGUCCCUAUAUUAUGGGUGGGGUCUCUGUCUCACCGGGUGCGAACUGUGUCUUCCCAUAGAACCUGGCUCUCCCCGCUCUGUGUCCGGCCACCAGCACCGCGUCCCCCGGGGCCACACGGCGCCCGUCACGGUCCAACCAGGACGCGGCUUUCUUACGGGAUGCUGAGGGAGGGGAGAAAAACACGCCCUGAUUGGCCAGUCCCCACAUUAGCCCCGCCCCCAUUAGCCACGCCACUAAUAAACCCCACCCUCUGAUUGGCCCGUUCCCAUUAGCCCCGCCCCCUUAUUAUCCCUGCCCCC
rnacentral:lncRNA from 1 species